UACGGGGGAUGCGAGCGUUAUCCGGAUUUAUUGGGUUUAAAGAGUUCGUAGGCGGCACGUAAAGUCUGGUGUUAAAGGCAGAGGCUCAACUUCUGUACGGCACUGGAUACUUGCGAGCUAGAAUGCGGUAGAGGUAAAGGGAAUUCCUGGUGUAGCGGUGAAAUGCUUAGAUAUCACGCAGAACUCCGAUUGCGAAGGCAGCUUACUAAGCCAUAACUGACACUGAAGCACGAAAGCGUGGGGAUCAAACAGG
rnacentral:rRNA from 1 species